UCUAAUUUCGAUUAGAACUCUUUUAACGUGGGAAAAAGAAAAAGGAAGCAUUCAGCAAUAACAGGUCUGUGAUGCCCUUAGACAUCUUGGGCCGCACGCGCGCUACAAUGGAGUUACUAGAGAGCAUUUUAUCAUUUACACCUUAUUUAUUAGGCUAUGUCUAAUAGGUAGGGAGAAAGCUUGGUGUAGGGAAAAAGAAAUAGUUAAGGACAACUCAACAGAUCGUACAUGACAGGGAUUAAUGAUUGGAAUUAUUUGUUUUGAACGAGGAAUUCC
rnacentral:rRNA from 1 species